GGUUGAUCCUGCCAGUAGUCAUAUGCUUGUCUCAAAGAUUAAGCCAUGCAUGUCUAAGUAUAAACAACUUUAUACUGUGAAACUGCGUACAGCUCAUUAUAUCAGUAAUUAUUUAUUUGAUGGUACUUUACUAUAUGGAUAACCGUAGUAACUCUAGAGCUAAUACAUGCGUAAAAUCCCGAUUCGAAAGGAAAGGGAUGUAUUUAUUAGAUACAAAACCAACGCGGCUCCGGCCGGUUCUUGGUGAUUCAUAAUAACUGAUCGAAUCGCAGGCUUGUCCAGCGAUAGUUCAU
rnacentral:rRNA from 1 species